GAUGAACGCUGGCGGCGUGCCUAACAUAUGCAAGUCGAGCGAUUUACUUCGGUAAAGAGCGGCGGACGGGUGAGUAACGCGUGGGUAACCUGCCCUGUACACACGGAUAACAUACCGAAAGGUGUGCUAAUACGAGAUAAUAUGCUUUUAUCGCAUGGUAGAAGUAUCAAAGCUUUUGCGGUACAGGAUGGACCCGCGUCUGAUUAGCUAGUUGGUAAGGUAACGGCUUACCAAGGCGACGAUCAGUAGCCGACCUGAGAGGGUGAUCGGCCACAUUGGAACUGAGACACGGUCCAAACUCCUACGGGAGGCAGCGGUGGGGAAUAUUGCACAAUGGGCGAAAGGCUGAGUCAGCAACGCCGCGUGAGCGAUGAAGGCCUUCGGGUCGUAAAGCUCUGUCCUCAAGGAAGAUAAUGACGGUACUUGAGGAGGAAGCCCCGGCUAACUACGUGCCAGCCGCCGCAGUAA
rnacentral:rRNA from 1 species